rnacentral:rRNA from 1 species
GAUUGAACGCUGGCGGCAGGCCUAACACAUGCAAGUCGAACGGUAACAGGAAGCAGCUUGCUGCUUCGCUGACGAGUGGCGGACGGGUGAGUAAUGUCUGGGAAACUGCCUGAUGGAGGGGGAUAACUACUGGAAACGGUAGCUAAUACCGCAUAAYGUCGCAGGACCAAAGAGGGGGACCUUCGGGCCUCUUGCCAUCAGAUGUGCCCAGAUGGGAUUAGCUUGUUGGUGAGGUAACGGCUCACCAAGGCGACGAUCCCUAGCUGGUCUGAGAGGAUGACCAGCCACACUGGAACUGAGACACGGUCCAGACUCCUACGGGAGGCAGCAGUGGGGAAUAUUGCACAAUGGGCGCAAGCCUGAUGCAGCCAUGCCGCGUGUAUGAAGAAGGCCUUCGGGUUGUAAAGUACUUUCAGCGGGGAGGAAGGGGAUAAGGCUAAUAACCUUGUUCAUUGACGUUACCCGCAGAAGAAGCACCGGCUAACUCCG